AUCGCUUCUCGGCCUUUUGGCUAAGAUCAAGUGUAGUAAGAUCUUGAUAUGAAUACUUACAUGUGCAUGGGGCUGCAUUUUUAAGCUUGAUUUUGACCUAUAAUAGGAGUGUCAGAGAAUUCAGCAAUGACCAUGGUGAGGAGUAGGAGAUAGGAAGGCUUUAAUUCUUUAAACCUUU
ensembl:snRNA U2 U2 spliceosomal RNA